rnacentral:rRNA from 1 species
GACAGAGGUGCCGAGCGUUAGGCGGAAUCACUGGGCUUAAAGCGUGUGUAGGCGGGUCGUUAAGUGCCUUGUGAAAUCCCACAGCUCACCUGUGGAACUGCUUGGCAUACUGGCGAUCUUGAGCCACUUAGGGGCAACCGGAACAAACGGUGGAGCGGUGAAAUGCGUAGAGAUCGGGAAGAACAUCGGUGGCGAAGGCGCUCUACUGGACCACAACUGACACUCAGGGACGAAAGCUAGGGGAGCGAAUGGG